AAGUCGUAACAAGGUUUCCGUAGGUGAACCUGCGGAAGGAUCAUUAUUGAAUAAACUUGACGUGGUUGUAGCUGACUCUCUCGGGAGUAUGUGCUCGCUCGUCAUUUUUUAUCUUUCCACCUGUGCACUUUUUGUAGAUUUAGAUGUGACUUUCUGAGGCAACUCGGUUGGGAGGAAUGUCAAUUCGUUGGCUUUCCUUGUAUGUCCAAAUCUAUGUUUUUAUACACUCAAAAAAAUGUAACAGAAUGUAUACUGGGCCUUGUGCCUAUAAAUUAUAUACAACUUUCAGCAACGGAUCUCUUGGCUCUC
rnacentral:misc_RNA from 1 species